GACGAACGCUGGCGGCGUGCCUAAUACAUGCAAGUAGAACGCACAGUUUAUACCGUAGCUUGCUACACCAUAGACUGUGAGUUGCGAACGGGUGAGUAACGCGUAGGUAACCUGCCUGGUAGCGGGGGGUAACUAUUGGAAACGAUAGCUAAUACCGCAUAAUAUUGAUUAUUGCAUGAUAAUUGAUUGAAAGAUGCUAUUGCAUCACUACCAGAUGGACCUGCGUUGUAUUAGCUAGUAGGUGAGGUAACGGCUCACCUAGGCGACGAUACAUAGCCGACCUGAGAGGGUGCUCGGCCACACUGGGACUGAGACACGGCCCAGACUCCUACGGGAGGCAGCAGUAGGGAAUCUUCGGCAAUGGACGAAAGUCUGACCGAGCAACGCCGCGUGAGUGAAGAAGGUUUUCGGAUCGUAAAGCUCUGUUGUAAGAGAAGAACGGGUGUGAGAGUGGAAAGUUCACACUGUGACGGUAUCUUACCAGAAAGGGACGGCUAACUACGUG
rnacentral:rRNA from 1 species